CAUGCAAGUCGAGCGGAUGACGGGAGCUUGCUCCUUGAUUCAGCGGCGGACGGGUGAGUAAUGCCUAGGAAUCUGCCUGGUAGUGGGGGACAACGUUUCGAAAGGAACGCUAAUACCGCAUACGUCCUACGGGAGAAAGCAGGGGACCUUCGGGCCUUGCGCUAUCAGAUGAGCCUAGGUCGGAUUAGCUAGUUGGUGGGGUAAUGGCUCACCAAGGCGACGAUCCGUAACUGGUCUGAGAGGAUGAUCAGUCACACUGGAACUGAGACACGGUCCAGACUCCUACGGGAGGCAGCAGUGGGGAAUAUUGGACAAUGGGCGAAAGCCUGAUCCAGCCAUACCGCGUGUG
rnacentral:rRNA from 1 species